rnacentral:rRNA from 1 species
ACACGACUACAUUAGAUACCCGCGUAGUCCUAGCCGUAAACGAUACUCGCUAGGUGUCGGCCACGGUGCGACCGUUGUCGGUGCCGUAGGGAAGCCGUGAAGCGAGCCACCUGGGAAGCACGGCCGCAAGGCUGAAACUUAAAGGAAUUGGCGGGGGAGCACAACAACGGGUGGAGCUUGCGGUUUAAUUGGAUUCAACGCCGGAAAUCUUACCGGGACCGACAGCAACAUGAAGGCCAAGCUGAAGACUUUGCCGGAUUAGCUG